UCCCUCUUCAAAACAUAAGCAGGUGACAGCCCAAGAGGAAGGACCAGAGUGUCGCAUCCAGUGGCUCGCUUGCUGGAUUUUUAGCCAGCGGUAGUUCUGGGUUUGGCAGUUUAUCCAAGAAGAGGCCACCCUUAUUUACUUCAGCAUCAGGUCUGCACCAUUUUAUUGCAAAGGAUGGUAGAACUGCACUGGACAGCCAUGAGGUGAAGAGUCAAAUGCCAACAGGAGUAUUUAAACAAGUGGUCAUGGAUUCAGAAAACAGGUGCUGCACUCUUGUGACAGUGGAUGCAUGGGUCCAGCAGGCUUAGCAUCACAUUGUUUCCAUGCAAGUAACAUUACCCCAAGUCAGAAUCCAGCUGCCAUCAUCAUAGUGCUCUUUUAUAAUAAUGGUU